rnacentral:rRNA from 1 species
GACGAACGCUGGCGGCGUGCUUAACACAUGCAAGUCGAACGGUGAAGCGCCUUCCUUUUUGGUGGGUGUGGAUGAGUGGCGAACGGGUGAGUAACACGUGAGUAACCUGCCCCCUUCUUCUGGAUAACCGCAUGAAAGUGUGGCUAAUACGGGAUAUUCUGGGUCUGUCGCAUGAUGGGUCUGGGAAAGAUAUUGUUUCGGUGGGGGAUGGGCUCGCGGCCUAUCAGCUUGUUGGUGGGGUGAUGGCCUACCAAGGCGGUGACGGGUAGCCGGCCUGAGAGGGUGGACGGUCACACUGGGACUGAGACACGGCACAGACUCCUACGAGAGGCAGCAGUGGGGAAUAUUGCACAAUGGGCGCAAGCCUGAUGCAGCGACGCCGCGUGAGGGAUGGAGGCCUUCGGGUUGUGAACCUCUUUCGCCAGUGAAGCAGGCCUGCCUCGUUUGUGGGUGGGUUGACGGUAGCUGGAUAAGAAGCGCCGGCUAACUACGUG